CCAAGCUACAGAUUUCUUUAUUUUGUGAGUCACAUCUAACUUACACGCCAGAAAGUGACUACCCCGUUAAUUCUUUAAUGAAGGGGAAAAUUCGAGAAUAAAUUUCCAUGAAAAUUUUGAAGUUAUCAAUUUGUCAAAACAUGUAAAGCAAUCAGCAGACGUGGAUGUCAAACCAAAUAUUUCGCAAUAUUCCCUGGAUUUUUGGUCGACGGAAAUAUUUCUUACAACGUGCUGGCAGAAAUGCAUAUUAUACAUAUACGAAAUUCGUCUAACAUGUUUCGACUUCUUCACCAACCAUGCGAAACCUUUCGUAAAUACGUCGACAUAUUUACCUGUCAAAUACACACUCUUAUGUACCUGACCCGAUUUCCAAGAAUUUCGUAAGAUGAUCGAAUUAAUUAGGCAUCAGCAUUUCUUUGUUGGAGAAUGGUUCAAAAAUUUAAAAAAUAAGUUGUCGGAUGGACAAUGCAAGAGACAGACACCAAUUCCUGAGGCCCAAGUUAAGAAUGCUCAAGUUACAAAUACGUUUCAAAUAGUGUAAAAAUUGACAAAAAAAUCUCGACGUACUAUUUACAUCUGUCGUAACUCAUUUAAAAUUUAGUUUAAUGUACACUAAUUUAUUUAGUGUAUACGUAGAGCCACGAUGUGAACCAGGAAGGGUCAUGCAUAUAUACAUUUAUGUGAGUGAGAAGUUAUCUCAAAAUCAGCUCAAAAUUAGCCUCUCACGAAAAAUCAAAAAUAUUGGAACUUAAAUAUAUACAGCGUUACGUAAUUAAUUUAAUACAUGUUAUCCACUUAACUGUUCAUCUCAGGCAGACCUUCUUGCUAAAUAGUAGCUUCUUCGGUGGCAUGAUUGAAGGACUUUGCAAAAUAUGUAAAAGUGCAACGUUUUUGGACAAAAAUGCGGAAUUUGUGAGUAGCAGAUAUUUUAUAUUUUAAGGUGGGGGAAAAUUUCCAACUCUUGAACAACAUUUUCAUAUAAUCGUCGUUGGGAAAAGCAAGAUCAAAUGUGGGAUGACUGUAAUUUCUGUGUCGCUUCAGCGACUAGUGCCCAAGGCAUUGCACACGAGAGAGAUAAUCGCUCAUUAUUAAGUAGACUCGGCUGACUUAUCAAGUGUUACAUUGUAUUUAGAAGAUGGACGUCUUUGGCGUCGUAUGAUUAGAUUGCAUUAGAUUUAUUUUCUCUCAUGAAGUUUUCAUUGCUGUCUGUAAUAGGAGUGACCACGCUACCUAUCUCGUCAACGUAAGAGUCGUCGCAUAAAGAAGCAAAUUUGAUUUUCUGAGGAUUAACAUGAACAUAACCGUAUAAUGAGGGAUAAAGGCGCUUUGUUGCCGGAUUUACCCAUAUAGUUCCGUCCUGCUAUCUUAGAAUAUAGAAUCCGAAUUGAGUUGUUCAGCAACGUGCAGAAUGGCGUUGACAAAUCCCAGGCCCGUCAGACAGACCUUCAGGUCUUAUCUUGCGCAUAACGUCAGUGCUGGGUACUGUAAAAAUGUUAUGUAUCCGACGAAGCGGUGGAAUGUCACGAUGGUGCUGAAUAUGCACUUUCGGUCUUCUUGAGGGCUUCAGUUUUUCUUUUAAUUUGUCUCUUUGUCCCAUUUUGCUGGUUUACAAGUUCUGAUUGUUUGAAAUAAUACAAACUUUCCAGCUAGGGCACAUUCAAGCAUAAUGUCUUGCUCGUAUUUAUCAGCCAACGUGGCCUGCGUCCAGUGUCGCUCUAGUUGCAACUCUUCAAGGGGGUUCACUACUUUACGUAAUUAUUCCUCAAUGGAUGACAUAUGAUGUUGGAAGUGGAUUAGUCUCGGUUUGCACGGGGUAACUCGGGUGUACUUGUUUUUUUACUUUUCUUAUUUGCGUGGUCCUUUGGGGAGAUUGAUUAUUCCCUUUUGUUACGCGGAAGGAUCCGAGUAUGUGGGACAUACAAGGAUCUAUAAUUAGGCGCUGAUACGACGACGAGAAAGAGAGAGACAGAGGGUGUUCAGUAUGGAUUUAGGGUUAGGAUAAGUGUGGUGUGGACCACGGUAUUAGUUAGUCGUGGAUAAGUUAGGAUAAGUAGUCAGUAAGUGGAAUGGAAAUAAAGGAAGAUUACAAGGAAGAAUAGCCCGAGACCCCUUAUUUCUCAACCCACCACCAUCGAUCUCGCGUAACAUGGGGGCUCAACCCCAGUUGGACCUUCCUGUGGGGACGUGCCUCUGGGGCAUCGUUUCCUCAGGACUCCAACUCGGACUCGGUCUGGAGACGCGACGAAUCUACUGCGGUGGGGAAAUCUACCUAAGGUUCGGGUAUUAAAAUUCCUUGUUCCUUAAAUUGCACUAACACGUAACAAUAAAUAAUUGUCUUACAAUUCGACUCGAUAAUAAUCGGUAUGUACGGGUAUGAAGUUGGCAUUGUUCAGUAGAUAUAUGAGCAGUUCUGGAAAAUCGUAUUGACGAAUUGGAGACGAUAGUCUCACUAUUCAUGUCAGUGCGAUUGGCAGGAACUAGCUCAUUUUUUAAUUUUAAACCGUUCUGGGGGAGGAGGUUGUUCUGGUCUGGUGGGGAGUUCGAUAGUACUGCCCUAUCGGUCAGCUGCAGCUAGCUUACCUGGAGCGGAUUGGUAGUUUAUUCGGAAAAAUAUUUGCCUUCAUUGUCACCCCGUAUUUUUUUGUGUGGUUAACUAACUCGAGUAAUAUUGCAUAAUAAUGCAUAACCAAGUGUGUUACUAACUUUUACGGCAUUAAAAUGAGCAGAGCACGGUUAGGUAUUCAUCUUUAACUAUCUUAAAUUUGGGAUAAAAUUUAUUGGCAAAUUUUAUUAUGCAUAUAAUAUAGGGGUACACGGAAAUUUUUGAAAACUUCAGCAAAAUUUUGGGAAUCUCAUAAUUCAUGGUAUUAUUUAAAAUAUAUAUUAGACUACAUAUCUCAUCCGCCCCAUUUUUAGGAAUUUAUGCGAAUAAUUUAUUAAAAACUUCAGGAAAUCAUAUCAAUACGUAUGUACGGGUCAUAUUUUCUAGUCAUGCGAGAAUAAAUUUUUAGUACAGUAGAUAAAUAUUAGCAGAUAAAUAUUCGAUGUAUGACCGGGUGCAUCUCUAUACCCAAAAAUAAAACUGAAUGUGGCAAGUUAAAAAUAUAUGAGCCGUUUUCCCCGCAUAAACAAUUCGACUUUAGAGCAGCAGGAAACCAACAUUUAACCCAUCUUUGACGUAAAUCUAAGCCCAGAAAUGCAUCGCAACCUUCACAGCACACACAAAAAUAGAUCACUAGUAUGGCACCCUAAAUAAUAAGUUGUUUGCAAAUUCUGUUCUUCAAAUUUCUUGUGGGCACCUUGAUCAUUUCAAUUAUUGCAGUGUAAUGCAUGUAUUCGUUCCUGACGUUAGCAGAUGUUCUGACAAAUUUAUUUUUGUCCAUGUCCAGAAAAGGAAUUACCUCAUAAAUUCUUUGUGUAAACUUUGACAGGCUGAUAAAUUUAGCUUUCGCAAGCAUUCACUACUAGCACAAAUACGAAAAACGCCAUACGAAAUAAAUAAAUAUAUAUAUAUAGCUUUGUAAUGUACUAGUAAGUUACAAAGUGGAACGUGAUCCGGGAUCCGACUACGUCAUAAACCCACGAAAGUGGAAUUUUAUUUUUAUCCCAGAAAUUAUCACUCACUCGUUUCUUCCCGGCACUAAACAAAACAAGAGUAAAGUUGGCAAGGAUUGUCGUUCUUAUCGUUCUACUUAGGUACAUACAUACAGGUAUUAGUCUCGGGGUUAAUAAUGUUCAUGCAUGCAGUGUGACAGUGACACUGUAACUGCAUUUUGUACGCUUAGCCUAGGCCGUACCGAUUCUUAUUUUCCCACAAAUCGUCAGGGUUCAAAUGGACGCAUUUUUUAUUCGGACUCAAAAUACUGGAUGAGACGGGUUUUAUUAUAUCAUUACUUUCACCCGUAUACAUAUCAUUCAUACACCAGGGCGGCACCGUAGUUUUAAUUACAUAAAAUCGCAAUUUCUUCGCAUCAUUGUUUGGUACAACUGGCGUAAAAUUAAUUAACAAAAGGGGAAUCGCCAAAAAAAGUAGGUACAAAAUAAUCAGAAAUUUAGCAAUUGACAAUGAUGAAAAUUUGAAAAAAAAAGAAUUGGGUUCAUACGUUUGAAUGCAUUUCAUAAUCUAAGGUCGUGCACGCACCAUAUUUUCUGGUUAUUUGAAUCUGCUGAAAUUUAUAUAAUAUAAUGUGGAUAGUUUCUGCAUAACAAACGAUAAAAAUAAGCCAAUUAGAAAAAAAAGGUGAAAAAGUCACUUUCUCCGUUCACCAUUUUCUUAAUGUGAGUUCAUAUUCACACAUAUAUUGGUGACGACAUGCAAGCACAAUAAAAUGGAAAAAUGAUAUAAAAAGGGGACUAGGUAAUCAGUUGCAGUGGUGUGAGAGCUGCAAUAGAUUAGGAGGAAGCAUAGUUUGAGUCAGACGUGACUUCGGCCGUGGUCCACGUGGUAAAUAGAAGUAAGAAAAAUUAUGUAAAUGCAUGGAAUAUGCAUAAUAACUGGCAAAAUCACUGCAGAUGAAAUUGAUAAUUCCUGCAAAAUAUAAUAAUUCCUGCAGAGGAUAUCAUUCCUGCAGAGGUAAUAGGAAAUUCGAAUUCCGGUCCUAAAGGGACGCGUGUUUGACCUGGUCGCGCCAGGAAAAUCAGAAGGGGACUGGUCGCUACAGUAUCUCUUAUCUGAUGGGUUUCGUAAAGAUUCACAAUUUAUACGAAAAUUGUGCAUGAUACAUUCCUCUCAUUAUUAAACACUGAGUAGAAUAAUACGUCAUAAGCUAGAUAGAAAAAUGAAGCUGUUUCGCGUAUAUGUACAUAUUCAUCAUCUCGUUGUUUUUAAGAUUUUAAUGAAACACUUGUGUGCUUAGAAAAAUUGAGUUUUCAUACUCGAUUAGUAACCCAAAAUGGAUCAGUAUCAUAAGUAUUCUUCGGUCAAAAGAAUACUUUGGAUAAAGGUCAAUGUUUUAUUCAGAAGGGCUGACCACCUUACUGCAUACAAACAAAAUCAAAAUCUGCACCACUUUACAUUACUUCUUUAUAUGAUAAGAAAACGGGUUUGACAAAAGUAUUGCAAAAUCCCGACUCAAUAGUUAUCACUUGAAGCAAGGUGUAUUAUGAUGGUUCCAGAAAAGGAACACGUGUCUUGCUGUUGCCUUAAUAACUAACUACAUACAUACUUAUUUAUCACAAUUCAUGAAAACUAGGUCCUUUUAUACCCCUAUCGAUAAUCUAUAUUAUAUGCUGGAAGUGUCUGUCGGCAACGGAAGUGAAAGCAAAUGUUCCGCAACGGAAGUGAAUGUGGAGAAAGUGAUUUGCAUAUCAACUGCGUUGGAAAGUUGAUAAGUCAGUUAUCUCCUUAUACAUCAACUUCCAUCAUCUUCAUCAACUCAUUGGUAUUAUAUGAGAUGAAAGUGAUGAUCAUCACUUUCACGUUCGUUGCGAAUUCCUUGGACUUCCUCGGCGACAAAGGAUUUCAGCUUACAAUACAACUAAAAUAUUUAAUCGGUUGGAGUUAUCAACAAUUCCAUCCAAUUUUUGUGAAAGUCAAAUCAGCCCUCGCCCGGCGGGAGACGGGCUUAUACGCUAGUUAAGAAUAUUAUGAUCACCUCCAUUUUGUAAACUUCGUAAAUUUUCGUAAAUUUGGUAACAGCGUAAACCGAGUAAAUGGAGUUUUUUAUGUAACAAGUACCUAUCAUCAAAUUGUAUAAAAAUGCACAAUGGAUGGAUAAGCUCACUAGUAAUUUUUAGUUCACAUUUUUGCCAAGAAUUUAAAAAAAAUAAGUUGUCAAGAAAAAUAAACGUAUCAUGGUCAUCUCAUGGAACAUAUGUACAGAAAUGUGGAACUGAAUUUGGUUAGGUUAGGUUCAGUUCACAUUAUAAAGUUACCAAAUAACUUCAGAAUUAAAUUACUUAAAUAUUGGAACUAAUGCUGGCUUAUAAUUAUCACACUAUUAUUUUAAGUUAACGGUUUUGAAUUUUCAAAAAAAAUAUUUCUACUUACAAGGAUUUUAUUAUUUCCAUCUAAAUUUUUACUAGUUUCUUCACAAUGGGCGGACUCACGUCACUUGCAUCAUACAUGCAAAAUAUUUUUAUAAAUUAAAAGUACUUAUGAAUUGGAUAGGAAAGAAAGAAUAAAACUUGAAAAUUUUGAAGAAAUCCAUUUCGUUGUGAAGGCAUCCCAGGUGUAACGUAAUGUGCGGAUGGAUCGAUUAUUGAUUAAUUGAAUAAUUUUGGGUCUCCGACUGGUUAAUCGGUCAAAUUAAUCGCUUCAAAAUAGCUCAAUUAUCGUUAAUUCAAUUAAUAAUUAAUUCAAUUAAUAAUUAAUUCAAUUAAUAUUUAUCAUAUAAUUUGCGAUAGAAUAAAAAAUAAUAAUAAUUUGCCUGUUUUAUUGUUUGACAACGAGUGGUACAUACUUUCUGUGAAAUUUUACCAGAUACGGUUCCGAGCUACCUGCAGGGACAAAUUUACUAACUUUUUGUCCAAAUUUUAUAUCAACUUUAUCAUGUCAAUUAUGCGUUUGAAUUCAGAUGCGUUUUAAUUAUCAGUGAAAUACGGCGUCUUAUAGGUAAAAUUAUUAGGUGUAACCAGAAUUACAUUUGGGGAAGAUGACCUAAGACAUCUUUUUAGAGUGUUGCACAGGGUUCUACGGUUCAUAAAAUGUGUCAGGUAUUAAAAUGGUAAAAUUAUUGUAAUCUGUGGAUUUAAUUAAAUCGUGCAAAGUCUCAUAAGACUCAAACUUAACAUCGACUUCAAUUCUUAAUUGUCCAUUGGAAUUGUUAAUUUUAUUCUAUUUUCAGUUGUUCUGGUAUCCUAUAGAGCAAGACGAUACCCUGCGAUAUCAUCGUUUUUAUUUACGAAAAUUAAUGUUUUCUUUUAAAUUUCAGUUUCUCUGCUUUGCCGCUUUUAAAUAUUGGUAGAAAUUGGUUACGGGAUAAGUUAUCUUAUUUAUAAAUUUAUCUUUUUUGCAUAACAAUUUCCGAAUUUGGUCUUAAUUUUUGUCGUUCAAUUUUGCAGCCGUACUCUCCUCUCUCUCUUCACUCGCUCAAUCUCUUUAUCUUCAAAUAAUAAUAAUGUAAUUAGUACUCGACUUUAUAAAAUUUUAUCAAUUUGUUGCUGUUCUAUAUUUAAAUUGUGAUAAUGAAUGUCUCAAGUAUUUAUGAAAUUUUAUAAACAAUGCAUAUUGUUACGAUUUA